rfam:Ornithorhynchus anatinus chromosome X3, whole genome shotgun sequence.
AGCAGCGUGGCUCAGUGGCAAGAGCCCGGGCUUAGGAGCCCGAGGUCGUGGGUUUUAAUCCCAGCUCCGCCA